rnacentral:rRNA from 1 species
AUGCAAGUCGAACGGUCACAUUUCGGUGUGAUAGUGGCGGACGGGUGAGUAACACGUAGUUAACCUACCCAACAGUGGGGAAUAACCCCUCGAAAGAGGAGCUAAUACCGCAUACGCUCUCUUGUGCUAGCAGGAGAGGAAACCUUGUCUUCGGACUGGGGCUGAUGGAUGGGACUGCGGCGGAUUAGCUAGAUGGUGGGGUAACGGCCUACCAUGGCGACGAUCCGUAGCUGGUCUGAGAGGACGAUCAGCCACACUGGGACUGAGACACGGCCCAGACUCCUACGGGAGGCAGCAGUAAGGAAUAUUCCACAAUGGGCGAAAGCCUGAUGGAGCGACGCCGCGUGCGGGAAGACGCCUUUCGGGGUGUAAACCGCUUUUCUCGGGGAUGAAACGAGGGGGUAACCCCUCUAAGACAGUACCUGAGGAAUAAGCAUCGGCUAACUACGUGCCAGCAGCCGCGGUAAUACGUAGGAUGCAAGCGUUGUCCGGAUUUACUGGGCGUAAAGCGCGCGCAGGCGGCACACCAAGUACCCUAUGAAAUCUCCUUGCUCAACGGGGAGGGUGUUGGGUAGACUGGUGAGCUAGAGGACGGUAGAGGGGGGUAGAAUUGCUGGUGUAGCGGUGAAAUGCGUAGAGAUCAGCAGGAAUACCCGUGGCGAAGGCGGCCCCCUGG